UGCGUAGGCGGAAAAUUAAGUCAGUGAUGAAAUCCUGCAGCUCAACUGUAAAACUGUCAUUGAUACUGAUUUUCUUGAAUUUAGUUGAGGUAGGCGGAAUGUGUAAUGUAGCGGUGAAAUGCUUAGAUAUUACACAGAACACCGAUUGCGAAGGCAGCUUACUAAGCUAACAUUGACGCUGAGGCACGAAAGCGUGGGGAGCGAACAGGAUUAGAUACCCUGGUAGUCC
rnacentral:rRNA from 1 species